rnacentral:misc_RNA from 1 species
GAUGAAGAACGUAGCGAAAUGCGAUAAGUAAUGUGAAUUGCAGAAUUCAGUGAAUCAUCGAGUCUUUGAACGCACAUUGCGCCCCCUGGUAUUCCCGGGGGCAUGCCUGUCCGAGCGUCAUUGCCGCCCUCAAGCACGGCUUGUGUGUUGGGCCCCCGCCCCCCGGCUUCGGGGGGCGGGCCCGAAAGGCAGCGGCGGCACCGCGUCCGGUCCUCGAGCGUAUGGGGCUUCGUCACCCGCUCUGUAGGCCCGGCCGGCGCCCGCCGGCGACCCCAAUCAAUCUUUCCAGGUUGACCUCGGAUCAGGUAGGGAUACCCGCUGAACUUAAGCAUAUCAAUAAGCGGAGGA